AGAGUUUGAUCAUGGCUCAGAGUGAACGCUGGCGGCAGGCCUAACACAUGCAAGUCGAACGGCAGCACAGCAGUAGCAAUACUGUGGGUGGCGAGUGGCGGACGGGUGAGGAAUACAUGGGAAUCUGCCCUGUCGUGGGGGAUAACGUAGGGAAACUUACGCUAAUACCGCAUACGACCGGAAGGUGAAAGCGGCGGACCGCAAGGCGUCGCGCGACUGGAUGAGCCCAUGUCGGAUUAGCUAGUUGGCGGGGUAAAGGCCCACCAAGGCGACGAUCCGUAGCUGGUCUGAGAGGAUGAUCAGCCACACUGGAACUGAGACACGGUCCAGACUCCUACGGGAGGCAGCAGUGGGGAAUAUUGGACAAUGGGCGCAAGCCUGAUCCAGCCAUGCCGCGUGAGUGAAGAAGGCCUUCGGGUCGUAAAGCUCUUUUGUCCGGAAAGAAAAGCCUUCGGUUAAUACCCGGGGGUUCUGACGGUACCGGAAGAAUAAGCACCGGCUAACUUCGUGCCAGCCGCCGCGGUAAUUC
rnacentral:rRNA from 1 species